AAGAUGGUGUUUCCAGUAAACCUUCAGCUAAGAGACAGUGUUCUUCUGAGUUCUGAUGAGUGUCAAUAUAAUGAUGGAGUCCAGUUUAUUCACAGGAGAAUAGGCUCCUCCAGUUUUUAAAUAUUAUGCCCCUCAGUGAGUCAAUGACCUGAUACUGAUACUGGUACUGAUACUGGUACAUAUAAAGGUGGUGUGUAGCUUAGUCUAUGGAAGGUCUAAUGACAGAAGAAUUGUGAUAUGUAACUGCUGGUCCUUUGUUAGGGAUAUUAUCAUCUCCUGGUUUCCAUAGCAACCAGUCAUUAAUGAAACCACAGACACAACAAACUUAGAAGAGAGAGGGAGGGAGGGAGGGAAGGAGUGAAAUUGAAGCUAAAGGUGAAUAUCUUAUUUCAAAGGACAGAAAAUAUCAAGAAAUCAUUUUUAAGGUUUACCGACACACUGACUGGCCCCCUUGAAUGGGUCUGGGAUUAUUGGUAAAAUUUUUAAUAUU